UACGUAGGGUGCGAGCGUUGUCCGGAAUUAUUGGGCGUAAAGAGCUUGUAGGCGGUUUGUCGCGUCUGCUGUGAAAAUCCGGGGCUCAACUCCGGACUUGCAGUGGGUACGGGCAGGCUAGAGUGUGGUAGGGGAGACUGGAAUUCCUGGUGUAGCGGUAGAAUGCGCAGAUAUCAGGAGGAACACCGGUGGCGAAGGCGGUUCUCUGGGCAUGAUCUGACGCUGAGGAGCGAAAGUGUGGGGAGCGAACAGG
rnacentral:rRNA from 1 species